AGUAUGAUCUCAUUCAGUAUUAGGGGUCUAACAGCAACAAUUGGCCUUAAUGACCCUGAUCUGCCUCACCUGGGAUCUCCCCACCCCUGAUCCCUGACCAUUGGUCCAAGACUCUAUUUAAGAUCUAAUUGAAGGAUCUUUUUACUGAGUUGUGUUAUAGGAGGAUUUGUCUCUGUCCUGGUCAUAGUAAUGUUUGUAUUUAGCUGUGGAUUCUAUUGAUUGUGAUAUGUAAACUAAAUUCCUUUGAAGUUGUUAUAGACUUAAGUGAGCAAUUGCUGCAUGACCUGAUUUUGACCUGUGUGGAUUUUUCAGACCUGCAUCAUCACUGUAACCUUGCCUGCUGAGGUGACCAAGAGGUGUAGUGAGCCCAAAUCAGUGUCAGGGAAGCAGUGGGGCAGGGUGUCUGCUACUGUCAGCUGAGCUUGUGCUGCAAGCAACCUGCAGCCCCAUAGGAUGAUGAAAGCUCCUGAUAUAUAUUUGAGCCUUCGUGCUGGUCUCUAAAGAAACAGAAAUGCCAUUCCAAUCAAAGAAGAUAGAUGAAAAUGCAAAUUUAUCAAAGUUCCACAGCUCUACCUGGGGGCAUGUGCUCAUUGACCUGAAGUCCAUAAGGAAAGCGAAAACUUCCAGUUCAAGAGGCUAAGUUGCAUGCUGUAAGUACUUUACAGCAUGUAUCAAUUAAGUCUCCCAUCAGUGGCCUUUUGAGGAUAUAGGAUCAGAUCUAAUAACAGUAAUGUGAUGACAGCUGGGGAUAAUGGUGGGGAACAACUACAGUCACAACAGCCACAGCUUCCGGGGCAAUAGCAAAAUCUUGCACACAAAUAAUGGUCAGAUGGAAUGAUCUCAACGUGCUAGAAAAGUGCAUGGCUAGACUAGGAUUUUGGGCUUGGUCUUGGUCUGCUCCUUACCAUUAAGGGCAAGCUCUGAACGUCGGUGACAAAAGGCUGCUGUGUCCGACUUGGCCUCAAGGUGGAACUGUGCGCCUGCCUGUGCCACAGGGAGGGUGAAGGAAGCACGGAAAGGGCUAACCGCGUUUCUCCUGCUGUGUAAGGAGAAACUCACUACUACACGGCUAGGAAUUGCUUACCUUGUAUUUAUUCAAUCAAAGAAACGGUGGGAGGCAAAACUUCUAGAGUGGGUUGCCGGGAGCAGGGUGUUUUGUGCUCCUAGCUAAAAUAUCUGUGGGGGAAAAAAUUGAUUUCCUAAUGAGGUUGCUUCAAGGAGUGCUAUAAUUACACUUUGUGCUGCAUUUUACUGUGAUGACUGGGACAGAGAAAAGGGCAGGAGGGGACAGACUUGGAUGGUCAUAAGCUCUCCCCAGCAUGGCCAGCCUGCUGCACCUGAGGACCCAUACUUAGCACUUCCCUACCAAAGCGCUACCCUACCUGUGUUGAGUUUGAGGCUGGGGGAGCUGACGCGGAUAGGAGGUCAUAGUCAAGGACAUCAGGAGAUCAUCAUGGGCAAGAAAUAAUAGUAAGGCCAUGAGGUGUUCACCUUCAUUUACAAGCUCCACCAUGGUUCAGUGGCAAAAAUAAAUAAACAAAUGGUCAUGUACAAAGCUAAAUGAUACUACAGUCUAUGAAGCAUUUGCAAAGACAAAUCCAAAUAUUCCUAGCAAGGCCAAGUACUACUAAAGCAAAUCUGGAUUAAAAAUGUUGAAGCCUGAAGAAAUGUUCAUUGUAGGCUUCUCUGUCAGAAAUGCACAAAGUUGUUUCUGCCAUUGUUAUGAAGAGGUAAAUAUCCGUUCUUUGAGCUUUCAGAUGAAUGAGUGGCUAGACUGCUAAGAGGCUAAACAUCUUCCCAUCAGAUGCUGCAGUUGUAUAGAAGCACAAGGUUGGAGAGGACCUACAGGAUCAUCUAGUCCAACUGUUCUAUCACCAAUAGUACCCACUAAGCUACUAAAUCAUAUCUUGUAGCAUCUUGUCCAGGUGCUUCUUGAACACAGCGAGGGAUGGUGACUCCACCACCUCCCUGGGCAGGCUGUUCCAGUGCCUGACCACUCUUUGAGAGAAAAAGUUUUUCCUGAUACCUAAACUUCUGUAGGCACAACUUGU